rnacentral:rRNA from 1 species
AACGAGCGCUGGCGGCAGGCUUAACACAUGCAAGUCGAACGGAUCCUUCGGGAUUAGUGGCAGACGGGGGAGUAACGCGUGGGAACGUACCCUUUGCUACGGAAUAACUCAGGGAAACUUGAGCUAAUACCGUAUGUGCCCUACGGGGGAAAGAUUUAUCGGCAAAGGAUCGGCCCGCGUUGGAUUAGCUAGUUGGUGGGGUAAUGGCCUACCAAGGCGACGAUCCAUAGCUGGUCUGAGAGGAUGAUCAGCCACACUGGGACUGAGACACGGCCCAGACUCCUACGGGAGGCAGCAGUGGGGAAUAUUGGACAAUGGGCGCAAGCCUGAUCCAGCCAUGCCGCGUGAGUGAUGAAGGUCUUAGGAUUGUAAAGCUCUUUCACCGGUGAAGAUAAUGACGGUAGCCGGAGAAGAAGCCCCGGCUAACUUCGUG